rnacentral:lncRNA from 1 species
GAAAGAUAUCAGGAAUAUUAUAGUCCUCAGAGACGUUCUUGGGGUCUUUAACUCCUUUUUUCUCGCUGAUCACAUGGACUAGGAAUACUUGACACUUAUUUCACAGGAACUUUCUGAUGGGUUUUAGCCAUAAGAACUUUCCUAUGUGCGCAUGCAAAACCCUAAUGCUUGGAUCUAGGCUUUCUAAUAAACAUGCUUUGAAUCCAAGACUUCUAAUUACUAAUUAGGUUAAAUAACAACAUUAAAAUAGAUCUAGAAUCAUACCUUUGAGUUCCUUGUUGAUCUUGAGGUCUUGGAGCUUCUAGAGUCACAAAUGUCACUCCUCUAAUGGCUUACAAACACCAAAGCAAGGAGGAUGAUUUGGGAGAGAGGAGAGGGGAGGAAUUUCGACCAGAGUUCUCUUACUUAAUCAGAGGUGUCGAAUUCCCUAUGCCAUGGGGUCUAUUUAUACUUGUAGACUCCUUAAGGGUUACAACCUAAACCCUAAUUGGAUAAUCUUCUCUUAAGGCUAUCCAAAUCCAUUCCUAGAUAACUCUAAUGGACGAUUUUAGCUAUCCUAAUCCUCUUAGAAUUCGUCCAUAGUAUAUCCAAAUGGAUUUACAGUCUAAAGCUUAACUAUCAAACAAUUGACAGUUUAUACCCCUUUAUUUAAUUAAUCUCUUUAAGUCACCAAAUUAAUUCUAAUUAAUUCUAUGACUUAUAUUAAUCAAAUAACAAUAUAUUAUUCAUUAUAUUAUUCCCAUAAUAUAUUAAUAAUAUUUACUCUCUCUUAAUAAAUCAUCCUAUCAAGUUGCUAUGGUGAAGGCAACCCAAAAGGACCAUGCACAACCGGAUAUAGUUACAGCCUUAGACACUAUUCCAACAGUCUCCCACUUGGAUAAGUCUAGUAACUAUACAAGUACAAUUCGGUUUGCAAUCGUAGCUCUCAAAGACGCUGUCAACUCUGAUCUAAUCAAUCUUGUCCUUUAGAUAAGGGAACGUACAGUCCUCUGUUAGAUAUCAUGCUGACAAUCCUAUGGAAUGGUUAGUCAAGCAUUUAGGUUUCUCGAUCUCUGAUUUAUUUGACAUAGAACUUAAUCGAACACAUCAAUUCAGUUCUGACCGGGCCCGGCACAUAAGUCAAAUCAAAUCAUCGAGCGGCCGAGAUAUCGCUUUUACCUUCUUAGAUAAAAGUUACAGAUAAACUUCGACUUAUAUGCAUUUACUUAUUCAUUAACCAACUAUACACAACAAUACGUUUUAUAACACCAAGUUACUGAUGCGUUUUCGUAUUAUCAAUGUACAAUCAAUUAACAAAUAAUAAACCAUAUAUCUAGGUUUUAAGACUAUAUGAUAUUAUCGUCUUGCGAUCACCUUUUAUAUCGUAUUCCAUAAGGUGAUUCCAGCAAGCGCGGGUUUAUUCCAAUGCUCAAAACUAGUUCAUAAGCACUCAUGAACGUUGCAGCAAUCCUUUGCUAUGUCUAACACCAUUUAGACAUUCUACACACCAAUUCAUGACAAUCUUCAUUCAUAUCUACUCCCAACAUAUGAACGAUUGUGGACCAUUUGAACAAUUCGAUUAUUCCUAAUAAACUCAAUUAUUCUGGAAGUCAAAACAUGCAAAGUGAAACAAUAGCUAAACAAUUAACAUAAGAUAGUAACAUUACUCAUAAAUAAAACUCCUUUAUUUAAUCAUCAAAUGUUAAUUACAUUUAUCUAUUACACGUUUCUAAUACUAUCUAAUCUAUGCUAAUAUCAUCCUUCAGCCCAAUACUCCUAGCAUGCUGCAAGUGCUUAACCCUACUCAGUCCCUUCGUAAGCGGAUCUGCUGGGUUAUCUUCUGAUGAUAUCCUCUUCACUACGAGUUGUCCUUCUUCUACACGAUGUCUAAUGAAGUGAUAUUUUCUGUCGAUAUGUCUUGAUCUACCAUGAUCCCUCGGUUCCUUGGUCAAGGCAACCGCGCCUUCGUUAUCACAGAAAAUCUCCAUUGGCUCCUUUAUGGCAGGUACAACUCCAAGAUCACCGAUGAAGUUCUUUAGCCAUAUUGCCUCCUUCGACGCUUCGCUCGCUGCAAUGUACUCUGAUUCGCACGUUGAAUCAGCUACGGUUUCCUGCUUGGAACUCUUCCAUGUCACUGCUCCUCCAUUUAGGGUAAAGACCCAGCCCGACUGCGAACGGUAGUUGUCCCUGUCGGUCUGAAAACUGGCGUCACUAUACCCUCGCACCUUCAAGUCAUCACUCCCUCCGAGGACUAAGAACCAUUCCUUCGUCCUCCGAAGGUACUUAAGGAUAUUCUUCACCGCAAUCCAAUGUGCUUUGCCAGGAUUCCCUUGAUAUCUGCUAACCAUGCUCAAAGCGAAGGCUACAUCAGGGCGAGUACAAGUCAUAGCGUACAUGAUUGAGCCAACUGCGGAAGCGUAUGGUACUCGGCUCAUUUCUGCUAUCUCAGCUUCGGUACUCGGACUUUGAGUCUUACUCAAUUUGGCAUUACUUUGUAUCGGUAGUUCUCCCUUCUUUGAGUUUUCCAUACUAAAACGUUUUAGUACCUUCUCUAAGUAAGUAUUCUGACUAAGUCCAAUUAGUCUCUUACUUCUUUCUCUUACUAUCCUUAUUCCCAAAAUGUAAGAAGCCUCUCCGAGGUCCUUCAUAGCGAAGCACUUCCCGAGCCAGGACUUAACCUCCUGCAGAGUCGGGAUGUCGUUUCCUAUGAGUAAUAUGUCAUCGACAUAUAGAACGAGGAAGCUUACUAUACUCCCACUGGCUUUGACAUAUACACAAGAUUCGUCUUCGCUUCGUACAAAUCCAAACUCUUUGACUUUCUCAUCGAAGCAAAGAUUCCAUCUGCGAGACGCUUGCUUAAGUCCAUAAAUGGACUUCUCAAGCUUACACACUCUAUCCGGAUGCUUCGGAUCCACAAACCCCUCUGGCUGAGCCAUGUAAACAUCCUCAGCCAACUUUCCGUUAAGGAAAGCGGUCUUGACAUCCAUUUGCCAAAUCUCAUAAUCAUGAAAUGCGGCAAUAGCUAGCAUCACUCUAAUAGAUUUAAUCUUCGCAACUGGUGAGAAGGUCUCAUCAUAGUCAACUCCGGGAGUUUGAGUAAAGCCCUUCGCAACCAAUCGCGCUUUAUAUGUGUGUACGUUUCCAUCCACGUCGGUCUUCUUCUUGAAGAUCCAUUUGCACCCAACGGUCUUACGUCCGGGCACAUAAUCAACCAAAUUCCAAACUUGGUUAUCAUACAUGGAUUGGAUCUCGCUAUCCAUUGCCUCUUUCCAUUUUGCAGACUCCGGGCCUGCCAUGGCUUCCUUAUAGCUAUUAGGUUCAUCAAGAUUUACUAGUGUACCAUCACUAAUAUACGUGUCCCCUUCGGUAGUAAUAUGAAAGCCAUAAAACUGGGGAUGAACUCUAACUCUAUCGGAACGUCUAAGAGGUAAGGAUUCGUCAAUCGGUUCAACCGGAGUUUCCUCCUCGGGUUGAGUGCCAGCGGUAGAGGUUCCUUCAUCUAUCGACUCUUGAAUCUCUUCAAGUUCGAUUUGCCUCCCACUGUCUCCUUGGCUUAUGAGUUCUCGCUCUCGGAAAACUCCUCUCCUCGCAACGAAGACAACAUUGUCCUUCGGUCUAUAGAAGAGAUAUCCAAAGGAUGUCUGCGGGUAGCCGAUGAAAAUACAUCGCUCACUUCGAGGUUCAAGCUUGUCGUGAGUAUCUCGUCUUACGAAAGCCUCGCAACCCCAAACCUUGAUAUGUGCCAACGAGGGAGCUUUCCCUGUCCACAUCUCGUGAGGUGUUUUGGCAACCUUCUUAGUAGGGACUCGGUUAAGGAUAUGGGCGGCAGUCUCUAAGGCAUACCCCCAAAAAGAGAUUGGUAGUGAAGCACGACUCAUCAUAGAGCGAACCAUAUCCAAUAAGGUUCGAUUACGCCUUUCUGCCACACCAUUCAACUGCGGUGUCCUAGGAGGCGUCAAUUGUGAAACUAUUCCACACUCCUUGAGAUAAUCGUGGAAUUCAAGACUUAGGUACUCUCCUCCUCGAUCGGAUCGAAGCAUCUUGAUUUUCCUGCCCAAUUGAUUCUCCACUUCAUUCUUGAACUCUUUGAACUUUUCAAAGGUGUCUGACUUUUGCUUGAUUAAGUAGAUAUACCCAUAUCUACUAUAGUCAUCGGUAAAAGUCACAUAGAAGCGGUUCCCAUCCUUCGUGGUUGAUCUAAACGGUCCACAUACAUCGGUAUGUAUUAGGUCCAAUAGACCCUCGCCCCUUUCACAUGUACUCGUGAAGGGUGACUUAGUCAUCUUUCCAAGCAAACAAGACUCGCAUGUGUCAUCUUCCCUAAGGUCGAAUGACUCCAACACUCCAUCCUUUUGGAGUUGGGCUAUGCGUUUCUUGUUGACAUGUCCAAGACGACAAUGCCACAAGGAUGCUUUAUCCAUACUAGUGGAAGAAUCAAUAUUCAAAACAUCAUUUCCUAAGUUAUCAACAAUCAUAACGGUUUCAUAUAUUCCAUUACAUGGUAUAGCUUCAAAGUAAAAGACACCAUUUAGAUAAGCCAAAAUAGAACCAUUCUCAUUAUUAAAAGAAAAUCUAAAUCCUUGUCUAUAUAAACCAUGAAAUGAAAUGAUGUUUCUUGCCAUUUCUGGCGAAUAGCAACAAUUGUUCAAAUCUAAAACUAAACUAUUCCUAAGCACUAAGGAAUACACUCCAAUCUUGGUCACAGGCGACGAUCUUCUGUUCCCCAUGAUUAGAUUGAUCCUUCCUUGCUCCACAUCCCUACUUCUUCUUAGUCCCUGCACAUUAGAACAAAUGUGAUAACCACAACCGGUAUCAAGAACCCAAGAAAUAGCAUGAUUAGAAUCGUUAGAUUUGAUUGUAUAUAUACCUGCGAAAGAUGGCUUGAUCUUUCCUUCUUUGAUUGCUUGCAGGUAAUCCGGGCAGCUUCUCUUCCAAUGUCCUAUCUUGUGGCAGUGGUGGCACUCUGCCUCCUUCGGGUUAGAGCAGGGCUUAGCGGGAUCAACUUUGGUCCCACUAGAAGAGGCACCAUCUCGGGCUUUCACCUUGCGAUAGUUCUUCGAUGAAGCUUUCCUCUUCUUUCCCUUCCCUUGUCCAAUAGCCAAGACAGGAGCAGCGGGCGGAUUGGGAGUAGGUGCAACAGACUUGUCUUUGAAGUUGCUCUCAGCAACCCUCAAGAGACCUUGGAGCUUGCUUAGGGUGACCUCUUCUUUGUUCAUGUGGUAGGUCAUCCUAAAUUGAUUGUACAUCGGAGGCAAAGAGUGAAGCACCAUGUCGAUCGCCAAAUCCUCACCGAAGUCAACAUUUAACUUGCGAAGGCGGUCGACAUACCUUUGCAUCUUUUGCAAGUGCACGGUAAGAGAUUCUCCAUGACCCAUCUUCGCGGAAAUCAUGUUAGUGAAAAUCUCGUACCUCUCUUGUCUCGCGUUUUGGUGGUACCUCUCCAAUAAGUCUUGGUGCAUCUCGUACGGGUACAUGUCCUCGUAGGACUUUUGGAAUUCGGAGUUCAUGGUGGCGAUCAUGAUGCAAUGUACCUUCGUUGCAUCUCGCUCAUGAGUUUCAAAGGCGGUGAUUUCGGCGGGAGUAGCAAUUUCGGGGUUGAUUUUCUCGAGCUUCUCAUCGAGGACAUACUCCUUAUCCUCAUAGCGAGCAAUGGUGCGAAUGUAUCUUAUCCAUUCGCUAAAGUUCGUUCCAUCGAAGGUGACCUUUUGGCAAAGGCUCAUCAACGUGAAAGAACUAGCAGCAGCGUUGUUUGCGUUCGACAUCUACAAUUAGAAAAGGACAAAGAUAGAUUAGAAUAAGAAUCCCUAAUUAUCACCCAAUAAGAAAAUUAGGGCUAGGAUCCAACAAUAACAUUUACAUACUAGAAAAGGGAUGCCGUAAUCUAACAUGCAAAUAAAUUGAAGGUAAGUGAAUGACGAUUCACUAAUUCUCCAUCACAAAACUUAAACUAUUAGUCCUAAGUGUUUUUGAGAAUUCCUAGGUUCGGAUGAGAUUCAUUGAAACUAUUCAAUGGCAUGUUUAAAUCUCGAUAUGCCCCUCUUGUUUGUGACUGGGAUGCCGAGGAUCACAAAGCGGGUGUGAAUUACCAUGCAAAUUCACAUGGUGCCUUCAUUGUAACGAUCACCUAUUCGAUGUGCCGGUAAACCACACACGCUCCAUCGAACUAUGAUAAACAAUGAAUCACCCUUUGCCACCUUCGCUUAGAACCAAUUAGUGUGCCGGUAAACCACACACGCUCCACUAACAUCUUAGCAAGGUGCAAAGUGUAAUUUCAUGGGAUUGCAUCAAUUCACUUUUCCUAAAGUAACUAGGAUUGGGAAUUUUUAAAAAUAUGUGUAGUUACUUUGUAUUUCUUAUUAUACUUUUAAUGAGAGGAUGAGGUUGCCCUAUCCUACCCGUUCGGCUAACGACCCUCCACCAAUCAAGCAAGCGGUGGGUGUGAGUGUACACCCAUUAAGCGCCAUUUUAUAGGCCGCAACCUUAUACCCACCUUAUAGAUCGGCUUCGUGAAUGAGGCCUACUAACGGUAAGACUAGCAUUUAGUUAUACAUAUAUAUAUUAUUCUAGUAAUAUCAUAUUAGUAUAGGGUUGUAUUUUAAAACUUUUAAAAUCUAGGGUUUGAAAUUUAAGUUGUCUAAAUUAAAACUUUUAAUCACAAAUAUAAAUUUCAAAACUUGAGGGUAAGUUUUAAACAUUUAAAACAUGGAGGAUCAAAUAACAAAUAAUUCCAAUUAACAAUUAAUAUCCUAAUUAUCUAUAUUUGAUUUUAUUCAAGAUUUCUUUGAAAGAUAAUUACCAAAAUAAUUAAAAUAAUUAAUUAAUUAUCAUAUAAGGAAAUUAAAUAUUUUAUUAGUUGAUAAAUACCUUUAACUAGAUCAAGAUAAUAGUCAUAUAUAUCAAAAAAUCGGAUUUAGAUUGAUCUAUUAUGAUUAAGGUAAGUUUCCAUAAGAUAAUUAUGAAAAAAUCCCGAAUCUGGCCAUUCCUGACGCCUGGACUCGCCGAGUGCACAAGGGGACUCGCCGAGUCAGGCCUACUCGCCGAGUCCACCUUGGGACUCGCCGAGUCAGUGACUCAGAAACCUAAAAAUCGAAUUUUGCAGGUUUGUUUCAGUUAAUCAAGCAACAAUUUAAAGAAAACCAAGCUAGGCUCUGAUACCACUGAUGGGUUUUAGCCAUAAGAACUUUCCUAUGUGCGCAUGCAAAACCCUAAUGCUUGGAUCUAGGCUUUCUAAUAAACAUGCUUUGAAUCCAAGACUUCUAAUUACUAAUUAGGUUAAAUAACAACAUUAAAACAGAUCUAGAAUCAUACCUUUGAGUUCCUUGUUGAUCUUGAGGUCUUGGAGCUUCUAGAGUCACAAAUGUCACUCCUCUAAUGGCUUACAAACACCAAAGCAAGGAGGAUGAUUUGGGAGAGAGGAGAGGGGAGGAAUUUCGACCAGAGGUUCCUUACUUUAGGUCAAGUGUCGAAUUCCAUCAGCCAUAGGGUCUAUUUAUACUUGUAGACUCCUUAAGGGUUACAACCUAAACCCUAAUUGGAUAAUCUUCUCUUAAGGCUA